rnacentral:rRNA from 1 species
UGGGGAAUUUUGGACAAUGGGGGAAACCCUGAUCCAGCCAUCCCGCGUGUGCGAUGAAGGCCUUCGGGUUGUAAAGCACUUUUGGCAGGAAAGAAACGUCAUGGGUUAAUACCCCGUGAAACUGACGGUACCUGCAGAAUAAGCACCGGCUAACUACGUGCCAGCAGCCGCGGUAAUACGUAGGGUGCAAGCGUUAAUCGGAAUUACUCGGCGUAAAGCGUGCGCAGGCGGUUCGGAAAGAAAGAUGUGAAAUCCCAGAGCUCAACUUUGGAACUGCAUUUUUAACUACCGGGCUAGAGUGUGUCAGAGGGAGGUGGAAUUCCGCGUGUAGCAGUGAAAUGCGUAGAUAUGCGGAGGAACACCGAUGGCGAAGGCAGCCUCCUGGGAUAACACUGACGCUCAUGCACGAAAGCGUGGGGAGCAAACAGG